GAUGAACGCUAGCGGCAGGCUUAAUACAUGCAAGUCGAGGGGCAGCGGGAGUAGCAAUACUUGCCGGCGACCGGCGCACGGGUGCGUAACACGUAUGUAAUCUGCCCAUCACAGGAGGAUAGCCCGGAGAAAUCCGGAUUAAUACUCCAUAAUAAAUUGAGUGGCAUCACUUGAUUUUGAAAGUUCCGACGGUGAUGGAUGAACAUGCGACUGAUUAGUUAGUUGGUGAGGUAACGGCUCACCAAGACCACGAUCAGUAGGGGUACUGAGAGGUUAAACCCCCACACUGGUACUGAGACACGGACCAGACUCCUACGGGAGGCAGCAGUAAGGAAUAUUGGACAAUGGCCGCAAGGCUGAGCCAGCCAUGCCGCGUGCAGGAAGACGGACCUAUGGUUUGUAAACUGCUUUUGAACUAGAGAAAACCCCUUUACGUGUAAAGGGCUGAUAGUAUGGUUAGAAUAAGCAUCGGCUAACUUCGUGCCAGCAGCCGCCGUAAGAC
rnacentral:rRNA from 1 species